rnacentral:rRNA from 1 species
UGGGGAAUAUUGGACAAUGGGCGAAAGCCUGAUCCAGCAAUGCCGCGUGAGUGAUGAAGGCCUUAGGGUUGUAAAGCUCUUUUACUGGGGAUGAUAAUGACAGUACCCAGAGAAUAAGCUCCGGCUAACUCCGUGCCAGCAGCCGCGGUAAUACGGAGGGAGCUAGCGUUGUUCGGAAUUACUGGGCGUAAAGCGCGCGUAGGCGGCUUAUCAAGUCAGGGGUGAAAUCCCGGGGCUCAACCCCGGAACUGCCUCUGAAACUGGUAGACUAGAAUCCUGGAGAGGCGAGUGGAAUUCCGAGUGUAGAGGUGAAAUUCGUAGAUAUUCGGAAGAACACCAGUGGCGAAGGCGACUCGCUGGACAGGUAUUGACGCUGAGGUGCGAAAGCGUGGGGAGCAAACAGG